rnacentral:rRNA from 1 species
AUUGAACGCUGGCGGCAGGCCUAACACAUGCACGUCGAGCGGCUGAUGUGAGCUUGCUCCUGGAUUCAGCGGCGUACGGGUGCGUCAUGCCUAGGAAUCUUCCUGAUGGUCGGGGAUAACACCCGUACCCGGGCGCUAAUACCGCAUACGACCAGAGUGCCAACGGGUGGGAUCUUCGGCCCUAACGCCUUCCGAUGAGCCUAAGUCGCGUUCGCUAGUUGGUGGGGUAAAGGCCUACCAAGGCGACGAUCCGUAACUGGUCGGAGAGGAUGAUCAGUUACACUGGAAGUGAGACACGGUCCAGACCACUACGGGACGCAGCAGUGGGGAAUAUUGGACAGUGGGCGAAAGCCUGAUCCAGCCAUGCGGCGUGUGUGAAGAAGGUCUUCGGAUUGUAAAGCACUUUAAGUUGGGAGGAAGGGCAGUAAGUUAAUACCUUGCUGUUUUGACGUUACCAACAGAAUAAGCACCGGCUAACUUCGUG